AAGAGCGCUCUCUCUUCGCGGACGGAGCAGAAAGAGUAUGGUGUGCGCCGCAGGAGCAGCUUUCUGUUCUGUUAAAAUCUACAGAAUGAUGACUGUUCUCUGUACAAACAAACCGAUAUGUGAUUUGUCCUCGAUGCUUCAGAUGAAGUUGGAUACCGGAUAAUAAGAGAUCAUUGCCUGAUGGAGUGAUGGGAUCCUGAAGCAGCGGCACUGUAAAGCCAACAAAGUCUGGGCAUAUUCAACAAUACCAGAGGCAGUGGCAAGGAUGUUAUCAGUUCACAAGGGGGUCCUAAACAUAGUGUGGAGUGAAUCGAUUCAUGGUCCCUGUGCUGCCCACCUGCAUUAUUCUUCUGUGAUGUACGAGUCUGCCCCCGGAGCGUAAGCAUAGAUGAACCGCAGUAUGUUCUGGUGCAGCUCAUCCAGCAUCAAGUCUCUCCGGUGCAAACUGUCACAAUCAGUCACGUCACAGGGAAACAGUGCAUCCGGGAGGAGAACCAGUGGAGAUGUUCCUGCAGUGUAAAAUGUCUUGAAAUUGUCAUUUUAAUAAAUCUAUGAAAGUGGA